UACGGGGGGGGCAAGCGUUGUUCGGAAUUACUGGGCGUAAAGGGCUCGUAGGCGGCCAACUAAGUCGGAUGUGAAAUCCCCAGGCUUAACCUGGGAACUGCAUCCGAUACUGGAUGGCUUGAAUCCGGGAGAGGGAUGCAGAAUUCCAGGUGUAGCGGUGAAAUGCGUAGAGAUCCGGAAGAACACCGGUGGCGAAGGCGGCCUGCUGGGCAGUUGCUGACACUGAGGCGCGACAGCGUGGGGAGCAAACAGG
rnacentral:rRNA from 1 species